rnacentral:rRNA from 1 species
AUGGCUGUCGUCAGCUCGUGUCGUGAGAUGUUGGUUAAGUCCCGCAACGAGCGCAACCCCUGUGAUUGUUGCCAGCGAGUAAUGUCGGGCACUCGAAUCAGACUGCCUCGAUCAACGAGGAGGAAGGUGGGGACGACGUCAAGUCCGUAUGGCCCUUACGACCAGGGCUGCACACGUACUACAAUGCCAGUACAAUGUGAACCGAAACCGCGAGGUGGAGGAAAUCGAUAAAACUGGGCUCAGUUCAGAUUGCAGGCUGCAACUCGCCUGCAUGAAGUCGGAAUCGCUAGUAAUCGCGGAUCAGCUACGCCGCGGUGAAUACGUUCUCGGGCCUU